rnacentral:ncRNA from 2 species
UAAUACCAAAGAGGCGCAUGCUUCAGAUAGCUUGAUCGAGAUCAACCGUCGAUGACAUCAAGUGAAGGGAGAGCGUGCCGAAACAAGUUUUUAAGGUUGUUAAAUACUUGUUGGUUACUAGGGCUGAAUCCCUAGGACUGUCACAAGAGAUAUUGUGGAGAACUUUGGGGGGU